rnacentral:rRNA from 1 species
UGCAAGGUCGAGCGAGCGGAACCAACAGAUUUACUUCGGUAAUGACGUUGGGAAAGCGAGCGGCGGAUGGGUGAGUAACACGUGGGGAACCUGCCCCUAAGUCUGGGAUACCAUUUGGAAACAGGUGCUAAUACCGGAUAAUAAAGCAGAUCGCAUGAUCAGCUUUUGAAAGGCGGCGUAAGCUGUCGCUAAGGGAUGGCCCCGCGGUGCAUUAGCUAGUUGGUAAGGUAACGGCUUACCAAGGCGACGAUGCAUAGCCGAGUUGAGAGACUGAUCGGCCACAUUGGGACUGAGACACGGCCCAAACUCCUACGGGAGGCAGCAGUAGGGAAUCUUCCACAAUGGACGCAAGUCUGAUGGAGCAACGCCGCGUGAGUGAAGAAGGCUUUCGGGUCGUAAAACUCUGUUGUUGGAGAAGAAUGGUCGGCAGAGUAACUGUUGUCGGCGUGACGGUAUCCAACCAGAAAGCCACGGCUAACUAC